UGAGGAAUAUUGGACAAUGGGCGCAAGCCUGAUCCAGCCAUGCCGCGUGCAGGAUGACGGUCCUAUGGAUUGUAAACUGCUUUUGUACAGGAAGAAACACUCCCUCGUGAGGGAGCUUGACGGUACUGUAAGAAUAAGGAUCGGCUAACUCCGUGCCAGCAGCCGCGGUAAUACGGAGGAUCCAAGCGUUAUCCGGAAUCAUUGGGUUUAAAGGGUCCGUAGGCGGUUUAAUAAGUCAGUGGUGAAAGCCCAUCGCUCAACGGUGGAACGGCCAUUGAUACUGUUAAACUUGAAUUAUUAGGAAGUAACUAGAAUAUGUAGUGUAGCGGUGAAAUGCUUAGAGAUUACAUGGAAUACCAAUUGCGAAGGCAGGUUACUACUAAUGGAUUGACGCUGAUGGACGAAAGCGUGGGUAGCGAACAGGAUUAGAUACCCUGGUAGUCCACGCCGUAAACGAU
rnacentral:rRNA from 1 species